CAGUCGCCGCGGGAAUACGAAGGGUGCAAGCGUUAAUCGGAAUUACUGGGCGUAAAGCGUGCGUAGGCGGUUUGUUAAGUCUGUUGUGAAAUCCCCGGGCUUAACCUGGGAACUGCGCUUGUGACUGCACAGCUAGAGUAUGGCAGAGGGGGGUGGAAUUCCACGUGUAGCAGUGAAAUGCGUAGAGAUGUGGAGGAACACCGAUGGCGAAGGCAGCCCCCUGGGCCAAUACUGACGCUCAUGCACGAAAGCGUGGGGAGCAAACAGGAUUAGAUACCCCCGUAGUCCCUGUCUCUUAUAA
rnacentral:rRNA from 1 species